AGCUCCAAUAGCGUAUAUUAAAGUUGUUGCAGUUAAAAAGCUCGUAGUUGAAUUUCUGGCGCGGGCCGCGUGGCCGCCUUCGGGCGCGCCGUGCGACCGCGCCAUCCUCGCGGGGAAGGCGUCGGCAUUAACUUGUCGGCGUUCGGACCCGCGUCCUUUACUGUGAAAAAAUUAGAGUGUUUCAAGCAGGCUUCACGCCUGAAUACAUUAGCAUGGAAUAAUGAGAUAGGACUUCGGUGCUAUUUCGUUGGUUGCGUACCGAGGUAAUGAUUAAUAGGGACAGUUGGGGGUAUUCAUAUUUAGCUGUCAGAGGUGAAAUUCUUGGAUUUGCUAAAGAUGAACUACUGCGAAAGCAUUUACCAAGGAUGUUUUCA
rnacentral:rRNA from 1 species